AGUGAACGCUGGCGGUAGGCCUAACACAUGCAAGUCGAACGGCAGCACAGUAAGAGCUUGCUCUUACGGGUGGCGAGUGGCGGACGGGUGAGGAAUACAUCGGAAUCUACUUUUUCGUGGGGGAUAACGUAGGGAAACUUACGCUAAUACCGCAUACGACCUACGGGUGAAAGCAGGGGAUCUUCGGACCUUGCGCGAUUGAAUGAGCCGAUGUCGGAUUAGCUAGUUGGCGGGGUAAAGGCCCACCAAGGCGACGAUCCGUAGCUGGUCUGAGAGGAUGAUCAGCCACACUGGAACUAAGACACGGUCCAGACUCCUACGGGAGGCAGCAGUGGGGAAUAUUGGACAAUGGGCGCAAGCCUGAUCCAGCCAUACCGCGUGAGUGAAGAAGGCCUUCGGGUUGUAAAGCCCUUUUGUUGGGAAAGAAAAGCAGCAGGUUAAUACCCCGCUGUUCUGACGGUACCCAAAGAAUAAGCACCGGCUAACUUCGUG
rnacentral:rRNA from 1 species